rnacentral:lncRNA from 1 species
UUUUUUUUUUUUUUUUUUGCAUCUUCAUCUUUUUUAGUGUUCCAUAUUGCUCUAGUUCGAGUUCGCUGUGGUGAAGAAGUUUGGUGCUAACAUAUUCAUCUUUAAUCCGUUGUAUCUUGGGAGACAGACGCCUACUUAACCUCGAGCACUCUACCUGUAGGGGACGAAUCUGUUUUAAGAAAAUUGUGCUCACAAGCUUCGGAUUGUUAUUUUCAAUCUCCACCCAUUUUCGGUUUAUGUUUAUUCUUUCCUAUAUUGUACCAGCCUAAUUUUAAUAACAAUUUCUUCAUCUGGGCUUUGCUCUGUUGUUUUGUUGAACUUGAUAGCAUUAUUGUCAUUUAUGAAUGGAGCUUUGGGUUUUGUUAGUUCAUAGGAUAGACUGUACAUGAGCAUCUUCGUAGAGAACUAGGAAUUACUCAAUUUCUUACUUAAUGUUUUUCUACUUUAUUUUUGUCCCUUUCUUGAAGUAGGUUUCAAUAUUGAUUGCUACAAAUGAAAAAUGGGAUAUGACAACUUGCAAGAAUCGAUUCUAGAUGCCAGUGAGGAAUGCUGAAGUAAUUUGUGUAUUCUGGACUUUUAUUUCGGGAAAAUGGUUCUUUUUGUUAAGGCUCAAACGUCGUGGCCUGGCCAGUAAUAUUUGGAUUCUACAUGAAGACACAAGGUAAAUGGACCCUUGAUCCAGUUACCUUACCCCUGGGACGUCUCUAGAUUCUCUACUCACCAGACCACUUGGUGAAUUUUGCCUCUAUAUAAGGCCUAAGAUACCUUACCUUCACAGAUAUACAUUGCAAUUCAGUUCUGACAACAAAGACAGAGCAAUGGCUUCAAGGAAAGGUGGUGCUGCUAUUAUGGGAACGAUGCUACUUCUCAUAUUCUUAUCUGUGUAGGCUCCGCUUGUAUACUCUCUUUAGAGCACAUUCAGCCCGUUAAUGGCCCAGUUCCUGAUACUUUCGGCCGUCUCCAGUUAGCAGAGGAACCACCAUCCUCUCCAAGUGGCCAUAGGGUUGGGACGGAUGGUGAUAAAGAAAAGCGGGAUGGUUGUGGACCAGAAAAAUCACUAGGUGCCCAUUCAGUUGGGGUGGAUGAAGACAAAGAAAAGCAGGAUGGUUAUAAUGUACCCCGACGGCACAACCAAGUGCCCAUUCCGUUGGGCUGAAUGAAGACAGAGAAAAGCAGGAUGGUUAUGGACCACCAGCAUCUCCAAGUUCCCAUUGGGUUGGGAAGACAGAAGGCACCACCAUUCACCCUACCUUUAACCCAAAUGAAGGUUUAUCUGCAGCUGAAGCAUAUGAACCUGCACCGCUUGCGAGUGCCGAUGCAACUGCAGAAUAUGUCUGAGCCCAUAUGAGUUAAAACUUUGGUUCCUUCUGUGGUUACAUUUCCCAGUUGGAAUAGGGAUUGCGUGAACAUGAACACAGUAGUUUCACUGGAAGGGCUGCAUUAAGGCUCAAAUCUUGCAGCCAGGCCAGCACAAUUUAGAGUGUACAUGCAGAGGCUACUCUCCAACUUUCUCACACAAGGUAAAUGGCCCCCUUAAAUGCCACUAAAAACUAGUGCAAUCCCUCAAGUGUGAGCUUUGAUCCAGCUACCCAUGUGCAUUGCAACUCACUAAACAACAUUGUGAACUUUCCCAAUAUAUAAAGCCUAAGCAACCUUCACAGACAUGCAUUUCAAUUCACAGAAUUCAGUUCUGACAGCAAGAGGUGCCGAUGGAUUCAAGAGAUGGUGGUGCUAUUAUUAUGGGAAUUCUACUCAUGUUCCUUGUCUGUGGGCUCUGCUCAUAACAGUCGUAGGCUCUUCUUAGAGACUCGAGAAGGAACUGUGGCAUCAUCACUUGCCCUCAUGCACAUUCAGCCCAUUGAUCACCGGAAAUAUGAAGCAUUGAACUUGGACGGGUCGGAUGAAAAUGGAAAACAGGAUACUGAACUGGAGCAAAUAUAAACCACCAUAACCACCGACGGCCAACUGGCUUGAGCUGACAGAAGGCCCCCCUCUAAAAGGUUCUACCUUUAACCCAAGAGACGGUAUCUAUGGAAUUGAAGAACAUCAACGCGCACCGCCUAGGAGGGCCAAUGCAAUUCAAGAUUAAGAAUAUAAUGAUUUCAUCGCUGACUUCACAAAUCUUGUGAGCUCCAGUGCAUUGCCCAGAGGUGCACUAUAUAUGGAUUUUCUACACUACACAUAAUGUUUAGCAGUGCUUUAUUUUGCUGGGAUUGCCGAAUAAUCAUGUUAUGCAGAGAGCAUUAUGCUCAUGGCAGUGGUAGUUUUAUACAUCAUAAAUAAAAAGCUCGUAAUUCUGGUGAUAAUAACCUUUACAGCGAACAAGCCGAAAUAAAAGCUUGUGAUUCUGGUGCCAUCUCUAGCCAAGCAAGCCAAAAUUUACAACUUAUUAUUACUCAAUUAAGUUGUACAUUGCCUUCUUUUCAUGAAAUUUUUUAUAAAACUAAUAUCAUUCAUCGAUCAUAGGGACUAAACCUCGAAAACUUCUCAAAUUUGAUCAUAGGGGCUGUAACCAUGACCUAUUCUCUGUCUGCAAUUUUUCAUCUUAAUGCUGCAAGACACCAAGAGUCAAUACAGUAAACCCCAAUGUAUUAUAUCACUGUGAUCUAUUAAUGACUAUGUUAGAUCUAAUAGCCUGCAAAAGUAUUCACAGAAACUUCACCGUCAUUAUAACAGUCAAUCUUGUCUUCUGACUUUGCUAUGGCUGCAUCACCGUCACUCUCUUUCAUCCUUUCUUGUAGGCAUUGAAUUUGAUCUCGUAACCAUUUCUGGCAUAAGUCUAGGAGAAAGUGUGGAAGAUAUGGUAGCCGAAGGUCGAAGGAGAGGCGUACCAAUCCUGCUUGAAUUUUCAUUAGGAGUUGGAGAAUGAUCAGUAAUUAUGAUGGUGGGUGGCUGUAACUCAAUUUCAGUGGCAACAGGUGCAGGUCGAGGGCUGUCUAGCAACUGUUGGUCAUCUUCAUCAAGGGAUGCUACUGUGCUCGUCUCUGUUCUGAUAGUCGAAUCAUCAGUGAAAAUGCCCAACCUUCUUUUCCUCCUUGCUUCCUUGCCCCAACCAUGGAUCGUCUCUCGUAUUCUCUGGGGAAUUAACGCUGCCUUGUAGUUUGAACCCAUCUGGAAAGGAAGCCGAUUGCCAAUGUUUAUGACUUCAUUAACAACAUGCAAAAAUCCUGAAUUGCUUCACAUCAAUCCAGUGAUCAUUGUUGCAUCAUAAAUUGCACACACUAAGGUGGUAAAAAAGGAGUUGUUCAGAAUUGAUUAAGUUCUGAUGUUUUUAAAAUAUUUCCUACCAGACAUCAACCCAUUAGAUUUAAGAAGUCCAUCUUGGAAACCAUCAAUUGGAAACAAACAUGAUAGAGGGCAGUCAUCAUAAAGAAAUGCAUCAAGAGAGCCUCUCAGCUUGUUUCCAGGAAAAAUGUCACCUUGAAGUUCCUAAUCACAAUAACUUGAGCGCCUUUUGCGUCUUGUCACCAGAAUGCAUUUAUAUUCAAAUUCAAUUCCGAACAAAAUAUACCUGAGUCACAAGAGCAUAGAGCGGCAAGGUGCUAUAGCUGCACAGAAACUGUCCUGCAAACCUGGUCACAGAAACAAUUGGUCAAUGGUUAUAAAGCUACACAAUACUCAUGACAGAAUACAUGGUAUAAACAAAAGGGCAAGAAAUUGAAAUUCUGCAUACCCCAGAAUUAGCCGUAGAUACACAAGCAUGUGGUUCUUAAUAAAGCAUGAAUUAUAUCCAAAUUGCCACUGUAAUGCAAGCACAGCUUUGUGAAAAAUCAUACAUCAUCUUCCACAAACAUAUAUAUACAGAAAGAUGUUAAGAGUAAGCUGUAAUAUCAUGUAAUCUUCACAUCAUGCUAUUUUAAUUUUGCCAAUCCAACUUGGUUAGAAACAAUUGAAACUUCAGGGGAUAAGAUAACCAAUACUAGUGCAGUCCAACCUAUUCCUGGUUAUUUGAUUCUCUAGGCCAGUAGUAGGAAACAAUAUUUUCAUGCUCCUCUCCUGUUUGGGAGUUUUAAGCAGGUAAAAAGGAAGAGAAAUGAACUGAUGAAAAGUUAAAAAGAGCUUCCUGUUCAAACAUGGAGAGUGGAAGUGAAGCCUCAUAAUUUAUUUUCUAUACAGACUUUUGUCAAUAAGAAUAGCCAAUCAGUUCAAAACCGAUCAUCGUAGGUUUUCUUUAAAAGUCUAAAAGAAAACGAGAGAAACUUAUCAAAUUUUUGUUUGUUUUGUCUCAGAGCUAAAGUUUCUUCUUCCCUUUUUCCUGAAAUCCCAAACUAGGGAGAACCACUAUUAUACUUAGUCUCAAUAUAUGAACAUUAACUCAAGCAAGGAUUGAGUUAUAAAGACAGCAUCAAGUAACUAAACAAAGGACUCAGUCAUGGAAAGAGGAAUACCCAGAACCAGAAAAAGGACGCCAGCUCAAACGCAUUCUGCAAGAAAGAGGGGGGGGGUCAAUAUCAGAAAGGCAUCAGCUUUGAGAGAUCUUUAUUUAUGAAAUUGGGGUCACUGGGGGUCGGAAGGGGGGGGGGGUUAGGUGUUGGCAGUGAGUUGUUGAGAGUUGGAUAUUAAACCAAAGAUGUGAAAAUUGCUAACCUGGAAGAGAAUAAAAUGAAUUAAGGACAACAAUAGUUGUGGCUUCUUGAACCAAAAAAGUUCAUCUCGCGGCUUUAAUCUUCCUUGGGGGUGAAAUACACUAAUUCCAGCACUCUCCAAAGCCAAUGUUGCAAUAAUAUGCUGCAGCUUUGUGCCCACAAGCAAAACAAGCUGCAUAAGAAGGUACCAGAAGGCAAUGAUAAGUAGAGAGAACAAAAACUUAUUCUUGAAAUGUUCAUGCAGAAUUCUCAACAAAAGAAGACUUGAAGAGGUUUAGCUAAUCUUUGUUUCCAUAUUAAAGCAACCUCAUCUAACCUAAGUAGAAUUUCUGAUGUAAACAUUCCUUAGAAAUAGCAUCAUGUUCUCAGACAUGAACAUGGUAACACCUAUUUCUUUUUCUUUUUUUUUUUUUUCCUUUUCAGAUACCAUGUCUUCCACAUGCCAUGAAAUUGUUACAACACUUGAUCUUUGGCCUCUGUAGAGGCAUAAUUACACUACAAUUUAAAUCAGUUAAACCUCAAGUAAAUCUUGAAAACUUACAGCAAUUGGGAUCGAUGCAAUCCAAAAAUAAAGAUUCGAUCCUGCAAGUGUGAUAGAUUGCAAAAAAGUUCACAAGUCAGCAAGUGGAAUUAUGCGCAAGCAUGGGGACCUAUAAAGUUUGCCCACUACUAAUGAAAUGCAUAGAAUUGGAACCAAUAUAGAAAUUUGAUAUGGCAAAGAAACACUUAUAUGCAAUUCCUAUCCACGCCUAAUCAAGGAAACACAAGAGCAAUUUAAGAAUCCAUUUAUAGUGAACUGGAAAUACCUUUGACAUUGAACAACAUGAAAGCCACAACAAACCCCCAGAGUGGGCCACUGCAAGGCAUUUAAACAAAUUUAAAUUAGAAAAGCUGCUAUGGAAGAUCCAAUUCGAUCAUUUCUCUAAAGAUGCCACUUUACUAGAGUGUUCUCUGAAUUCAGUGCUGUCUGAUUAGCGGCAAAACAAAUUAGGAGGGAAAACUAAGGUUAAAGAAAUCAUGUGCAAUGUUUUCCAUAUGAAACAUACCAUGUGCAAGUAGAAAGAAUUAAUAGCACAAGGAAUCUAAUGGUUAACAGCCUGAUACCAUUCAGUAAGAGAUGGAUCAAAAUACUGUGAAAAUUUUCCUCAUUGGUUCAAACCCAAAAUUUAUGUAAGAUUUUCUCCCACAUAUUUCUUUAUGUAUAGCUUUCCGCACCAAAUAGUGGCUGGAUUCUCAAGUAGUUCAUUCAAAUUAUGGCUUAUAUCCACAGAUCAAAUACGUGAAAAUAUGGACUAAGCCGAAAGGUAAACAUUUGUGGCCUAUAUUUUACUAAAAAAUUGUUAAAACAGUUGCCUUUUUACCUCACACCAACUAUCCUUUGGAAUUCUUCCUCCAUGGAUCGAACCAUAUAGCUGUGAAAAUCAUAGUUUGAUGUAAGGUUGUGGUUCUGCCAUGAAUAAGACAAACACAAAAUGUAACAGCAAUCAAUUGUAGCAUGAUACUCUUGAUUUGUGUGUAAAUCCUUGUCAGUGCUACAGAAAAUAGAACUAUAAAACUCUGCAUCUACAAGUCUGAUUAUAAUAGCAUUUAGGGCAAUUUAACACUUUCGAAGAAUUAAAGGAACAUUAAAGUUUCUGCAAUAUAAGAAUAUUAUAGCUCUCAACCCAGAAAACUCUGCUAGCAUAUUUAUUGAAUUCCACAAUGGCUCGUAUUAUGCAUGACAAUUACUUUCCUACAAAAACAAUUUACCUAAGGGAUUUUGACAGAGCACUAAAAUACAGAAAUUACUCUCCUCUCUACCAUCUUAAAGCUUCAAGAUAAGCCCAAAAAAGACUAUAUGAUGUGUCAAUUAAUCUGAAAUUACCAUCAUUAACAAUUUGCAUCCAUUUGUAACAUGAUCAUAGAUACGUAAAUGCACGGACUUCAAAUUCUUAGUUUUAAAAAAUUGUGUAAAAUGAUCCUGGCUGAUAAUGAACACAAAAAGGAAAGAGAGAAACUGACUACUACAUAACUUGUUUAGCUACAUCUCUAUUCAAAGAGAAAUAUAUUUGAAUAUAGUAAAUCACUUCAUCUUUUCCUUCAUGGAUGCAAAAAAUUGAUACUGUUCACCAGAAGGUAGAGGAUGAACAGCUUUGACAAAUUCUUUACACAAGCAACUAAGAAUUCUGAGGAAUCAAAAAUCUUGUAUUAGCUUCUCGGACUUGAGAGAGAUGGAAAUACCAGUUUGAGAAUGUAGUUCUCAUGGAAGAGUUAGGGAUGAAAGUUUAAGGUCAACAAUAAGAUGUUAAAGACUUUCAAUAGGAAUUGGGUACUUUUCAUAUAGCAGCUUGCGUACCAUGAGAAACCCCUUGCGGAGAGUCAGGUAAUCAGCACGAACCACUGAACGCCCAAAUUGUCGGAAAAAACAAAUCUGCAUAAGUUGGUGGAACAGCAGUUCCGCACAAGGUAAACUUCAAAAUGAAUGCCACAACAAAGUCAUAUUUCACAUCUAGAAUACAAUAGACAAGAAACUUAAUCCAGGAUAACACUUCACACAGCUAAUAUAUGAACAAUGAGAUUGAGUCUCUCGCUCUUUGGCCAAAUUGCAAUUAAGCUAAGUGAGGUAAUGUAUAAGUUCUAUAUAGUUAAUGUUUCAAGCUUAAAUCUAAUCAACAAUUACUCAGGUCAGAAGUUAAAAAUCCAGUGCAUUUGUGCACAACCUUAAGUUCAGUAAUAUGUUAUGAAGUCCAAUAUACAGCAGAUAAGAAAUAAAUCAGCUAUAGGAACAUGAAAAAAAAUACAGAAGUAAUCUUACCACCCAAACAACUAAACCAUUCCUGGUCAAGGGAUUUGAUGUAUGGGCUCUAACAAAUGUUGAUUGCCUUCGCAUUGUCAUUGCUCGAGUGAUCUCUGUGAAGGGAAAAAGCUUAACCUUGAUUUUCCUUAUCCUUUGAAAAUACUGCAUUAAAUAUUAAAGGAGUUCACCAGUUCAUAAUUCUUUUGGGUUGUAUUUAUGCUGACUAUUUAGAAAAGGGAUAUGAAUCACAUGAAAAGGAAUUGCGAAAAUUUUAGCCUCAUAUUGGGUGUGAUAAAUCAUCUUUCAAAACUUACUGAAUUGGUUGCUCGACUUCUUGCUACCUAGGCUCUUUGAUUUUUUGUAUUCACAGCUGCCUAAAGGGCAAAGAUAUAAAUACCUUUUAUGCUAUCAAAGAGAAUCAAAAUAAGAAAAUCCUAAUCUGCUGUAACCACAGGUACUUUGACAUCUAAAUAUCUAAAAACAGCCAAAAACAGAUCAAAGGUAGACAUUGUUGGUUUACUUGAAUGCUUAGGAGUUUUACAUGGAGCAACAUGGUGAUAAUCGUACACAAAACAUAAAUUGCCUAAUACUCACCAAUUAAUGUAUGAUGAUGGACCCUGCGAGCCUCAUCCUCCCAUUCCCUCCAAGUGUGGAUCUAGUCAAAGCACACAUCAAACAGUCAAUGAUAGCAUUAACUUAAAAAGCAUAAAAGCAAAACUAAACAAAAGAAAAAAAAAAAAGGGCGUGAUGAAAUAUCAUAUAAUGGGUCUAUAGCUUUACCCAAUUAAAAUUUGCCUCAAGUGGACAAAAUUAACAAUACAUUUUCACAUCUAGUCAACUGAGAUCUAAUAGGAGUAAUAAGAUUUAAGUAGCAGAAAUGAAUGACAAAAACAAAACAAAGGCAUUAGAGUGAGGUUCUAUGGCAAUAAUGAUCUUGCACCAAAUUCACUUGAAAUCAGGGAAGACACUACUGAAGCUUAAAUAAAGAACAACACCUUUACAAUUGCCAGCAACAUUGUUAAGCAGCUGUAAGCUAUAUGCGUGAUUGCCAUGACAAAGAUGAAGCGAUGCAGUUGCUCAAGACCUUCAUACGAGACAAACGGUUCAUGAUUCUGUGUAAAAGAAACAGAUUACAAGAGAUACAGAAAUUCAUUCAAUAGCAGCAGCAUGGAAAAUAGAUGAAACUGUAUUCUGAGAAAUAGAUGUGAUGGUGCAUUAUGAAAGUAUUUAAAUCUUUUCUUUUUUUUCUUUUUUUUUUUUUGCUUCUUUCACAAUGAGUAUCAGGUGUGAAUUUUAGUAAUUGGAAGGAGAAAGUUCAAAACAAAAGGAGAAAAAGAAGAAAAAAGUUCAGUCCAUGCUCAGCCAAAAAGCUUAAUUGCUUACUCAAAAAAAGGGCAACAGUAACUAUUUAUCUAUUGUGAUUGAUUAAAUAUCUAGAACUGUCAUCUAACGAUUAACAUGCCUCUUUGCAGGUAUUCUGAUUCAUGCCAUUCAACACUCUCCUAUAUGAGUGAGGACGUAGAAAAGCUGCCAAAAGUUUACGAUGCUUCAAGUUGCUCUCCUCCAUUUCUUCAUCAAUUUCAUUCCUACUGCAGGGAGCAAAAAUACUAUCGUAGAACUUUGAUGGUAUGCAAAUAUUGGAUAUAGUGCUUGCUGUGGCUGUGAGUAGGAGAGAUAUAAAGCCAAGAAGCAUCAACUCUGCAUGUGGAAAAGACCAAACAAUUUGACGGAUAUUAAAUCCUUAAAAUGGCAGGCAAAGGUUGCAAAAAAUAGAAAAGUGAAAGACAGCUCAGUUAUUGAAUCCAAAGUACCUUCUUUCAUUUUUUCAACAGCUGCAAGCAAAGGUUUCCGAUUAGUUUUCCUCAACCACUGUAAAGACGGAAGCACAUAGCUCAUGAAAACAAGAAAAAUAGACCGUAAUUUGCCUAUCUGUCAUCCAACAUAUCUAACUAAUAUGGAACAAUAUACAAACACAAUAGAUUCAUCAAGAAAUUCUCUACUAGGCUUCCCUACUAGGCAUUUCAACACACUAACAUUUCUUAAGCAACAACAGGAAGACCACCUUCCGAACAGAAGAACACAACUAGGUUCUUGAAAAUGAAAAAGAUUCUUAAGCAGUUAGAGUCAAGACAGAAUGACAUCUGAGGCAACUAAAUGAUGUCGAGAUCAUUACAGUUGGUGAGUAUGAAAGGUGAAAUCUCCCCCUGAACGCCAAGAAAUACGAAUCCACUGUUGCAUCUCAUAGCAUCAAGUCUCAAAAAUUGAACCAUAGAGGAUCUCAACCUCAAUGUCUGAGCAGUCAAUAAGCUAAAUGGGAAAAAGGCCAAGUUUGGAGAUUGACUCACAUUGCAUAACCGGUGAAUGGAUCGCUCCACAAGCAGUGAAACGGCAACAAAGAUAGUCAGUACAGAAGCAACCGACCAUGUCGGAGUCAGGGCCAAUGACCUGGAUUCCUGUGCAUUUUCUGCCAUUGCAAAUUGCAACAGACUUGGAUUCAGAAAUGUUGUUCGAUCAAAAUCCUCAACGUUAACUCAACCUGCUGCAACCCAAUGCCCGUGUAUUCUCAGAACCAAUAAGUAUCCAUUCUAGGAAAAUUCAAAAAAAAAAAAAUUUCUCCAAGAACAGUGCUCAGCUCACAUUAUAUAAGAGGAAGGCCUGAACUUUGACUGUUGUUUAUGUCCUUUUCACACCAAAGACUCUGAUUUCCGCGGACAAUGGAGGAAAUUAAAGAAUUUGUUCCCCGUGUUUCUUUCCGUGACUAGAGUCGGUAACUUUGAAAAUUCCUAAGUCAGUAUUGCAGACAAAAGCAUCCCUUUUGACUUGAAAGACUAAAUAUGAAUGUCUUUGUUGACAAUAAAAGAAAACAUCCAACCACAAACGUUGGAAAGAAAACCUCCAACCGCAACGUUGGAUUUUUUGAGCAUAAAAUGAUAAUUGAAUGUACAAAGAAGAAAAUUCCUAACCCCAAAUUCAAACCCACUCCAGAAAAGGAACAAGAAGUUCUAGAGAGUUCUCUAUUUUUCCAAUUGCUCUUUAUUAUGAGGCCUAUGAGAACAGCUCAGAAACUACUAUAAACCAAGAAAAGGAAUUUCUGGGUUUUGCUAUGAGAAGAUGCUAAAUGCAUACUUCUUUGAUCCCCGCUUAAGAUUCCAGGACUCAAAAGCUGAAAAAAGGAAUAUCUUUUCUUUUUAUUAGGACAGAAUCCCAGUUCUUAUGUGUUCAGUUGUGAUUCUCUUUCUGGGUCUGGCUGGGGGAGGGGUAGUCGACAGAGGAAGUGAUUUAAAGCAGGCAGAAGAAACGAGCUAAAAACUGGAGUGCAAAAUGGAGGGUGAUCUCCUGGGCUUUUCCAAGCUCGUUUCCACCGCAUUUAUUAAUUGUUCACUGGUCAAAGGAAAAAGGCAAAAGUAGCUCGCCCUCUUUGUUCCUUUUCUGGGAGCACGUGGGCUCUUGAAUCGCGUAUCAGUGAGAACCUCCACCAGGAGAGACUGAAGACAAAGACCCUACAUUGUGUUGGCUGGGAUGCAGCCCUUUUUUUCUCACUCAUUUUUUUAUUUUUUUAAUUAAUUUUUAUUUCAAAUGUAUCAUAUUAUAAAAUGGUACUACAAUAUUUCAAAAAAAUUUAUACAAUCUUUUAUGUAAAUACCCUUAUUAUUUAUAAGUAGUACUUUAUUUUUUGCUUAAAAAAAUACAUGAUUUUUGAAUUAGGAAUAUUCUAUACUAAAAAUUAUACGAUUAUGUACUUGUGUAGAUUUCAAAUGUCUAAAAUUGUCAAAAUACUUGUUUUACCAUCCAACAAAGGAUUUAAUUUGAAUUUACAAUAUUCAAAAGGGACUAUAAAACCUCUCUUAAAUUAUAGUAGUUUUUUGAGAUUGCGAUGACUUGCAAAUAAAUACUUGUGACACGUGUUUUUAACAAAUUGCGUUUAAGUUACGGGAAAUUAGUUACCAAAUACUUCAGAAGUACUUUUUAGUGUUUAAAAACGUUCUUUUUUUUUUUGGUAAACGCAUCGCAACUCAAAUCGGGCUUUACUAAUACUCACUUUUUUCCUUUAAUAUAUUUUGACUCCUAGCAUACCGAUCAACCUUCUAACUCAAGCACAGAAGCAUUAAGUUAUGCGUAAAAUAAUACUGUAGCAAGUUAAAAUAAAAAAAAAAUAUUUGGUGCAGUUGUUGUAAAUAAUACAUGUACUUAAAGUAAUUGGACCAAAUCCAGGUGUUGACAGAACUAAGACUGCUACUGGAUGAAAUGAUUCAACAAAGGAUUUGAAAUUUUUACAAAUUCCUCCACAUUGUGCAAAUGAUUUGGGAGGUAUUUGGAUUUGUAAAAAUUUCAAAUAUAUCUAAAUAAAUUGUGUAUUACAAACUCAAAUACCUUUCCAAGUAAUCCAAACAACUUAGAAGAUUUUGGGAGGAUACUUAAAUUCAUUGGAAGCCUAAUUGAAUUUGAGGUUUAAGACUGAAAGCUGAAACCUUCAUGAGGUUAAAUAAUUGGUUGAAACUAUUCGACAUCAAAUGUUUCUUGACCUUCACCCGGACAAUCAGUUCAAUAAAAGAGUGGAGAUUUGUUAAUGAGUCAAGUGUACCAAAUAAAAUAAUGUAGGUGCUUUUUCUAAAACAUGUUGAAUUAAUUUUGUUACUCUUUUGUCCAACAUUCAGUCAUUAGCUUAUAAUGAUCAUGUUUCCAAAAUUUGUAAACUAGAUUUUAGCGGGCACACUAAUAGCCUGAAAGCCCUGAACCAGAAACCCUAAGGUUGAAUGUGGGUGAGUCUAGUUACUAUUUUGACUAAAGAAGGACAAACUAAUCUAUAUACAUACUGUAGUGGAAUUUAUCUUGGAUCAAAGAUUGAGUUAAUGGGAUUAAUUUGACACGUACUAAGUUUCAAUUCGGUUACGAUUCCCAAGAAUUUGAAAUUGAUCUUAUUUUUCAUUUAAUAAUUGGGAAAUUUUCAAAUAUUUGUCGAAGAAUCCCAUGUAGUUCCCUCAAGUAGUAUACUGACCAAAUCAGCUAUCUUUGGAGUAGUUGAUGGAGAGUUUUAAGGGAUCAAAUCUCUUGACUUGCAUUUAUUUACAGGAUUUAUUAGAAGUUUCACUAGCAGGUGCAGAAGUACUCGUCUGAUCCGAUAGUGGUUCAGUUCCUUCCGAAUUCUUUUUUGUCCCAUUUGAGUCCACUCCUCCCCCUAGUAUAGAGUAGAAGUAGGUAUAUAUUAGAAACUAGAGCGGCGAAAAAAAAAAAAAAAGUGAGAGUGUCAGGGAAAUUUGCAAAUUCGUGCGGCAAAUAUUCUACUUAAGACGUAUAUAAAAUUUGAUGAGACGAUAGAUUUCUUAAAAAAACUUGCAUGCCCACGUACUAGAUGCUGUGCAUGAAUGGUGGAACGUGAAUCCACAUAAACGAGGAGAAGACCAAUUCAAAUUUCAUUUAGUGGGAGUAUGAUAAUAACACACAAGUUCAGAAUCAGAGGUGUUUCCCAACAGAUCUGCGAAUGGUCAGGCAGCUUAUUGGUCUGAAUUCGACUAAUACGAAUACACAAAUAGAAGCCAGCAAAGUCGUCCCACUUGAUAAGAAGACUCACUGAUCCAAGUACAAGGUUUCCAGGAAGAUUAGAAACCCCCUUUUUCCCAUUAUCAUCCGUGUUUCUCGCUGGCAAUCAACAUGCAUCUCGCUAAUUAAUAAGAUUUAUCAAGUCAUAAUCAUGCUGUUUUAUCAUGGUAUCUCAUCUUCUUGAAGUAUUGGCUAUUGGCAAAAUAGAAUACCAUAUUAAUUCAUUCUAUUGAUCUGGAAACGACCCAAUUUAGUUAGUGAUUAAGAAUUUUAAUCAAAUGGCCGUAAAGUUUUUGAUUCGAGCCCUCUCAUUUCCCCCUUCUUUACGCAAGAGUGACGGUCUCCUCCUGAACCCCCCCCCCCUUCCUUACCCCACUGCCCUCAAAAAAAAAAAAAAAUGGUCUAUUCAUCUUAUGCAGGAAAAGGCCACUCAGACUAGACAAAGACAAGUUGAAUUAAGUACCCAAAUUUAAUUAGCUAGCCAGCAGCUAGGGAGGCUGAGCGAUCCAUGUGUCUUGUUCUUCAAGUUGGAAUUUGGAAAAUGACCCUGUAAGCUCUUUUCCGGGAAGGACGACAAAUGCUGGGUACCAGGUAGAAGUUUGGCGGUUCUAAUUGCCAGUUUUUUAGCAAUGGUAAACCUACUUUUUGACUUCAAGAAUGUAGUACCUCAAUGACAGCUGCCAAAGCCAGCUGAUACUUACCCUGGACAGCAAUUUUGGGUUUCAAAUAGAUCUUCAAUGAGAAUGACAAGACUCAAGAGCAUUAUUAUUUUCUUUUUCUUUUUUCCCACAGGAGUCCGAAAAUGAAUCAAGGAAAGUGACCUCUUAGGAAUCUUUAAUCUCCAUCGUGCCAAAUGUCGUUCGAGCUGUACUAACGAGGAAUAAGAGCAAGCCAGGAGCUUAGAAUACAGGGCAUGCGUACUAUUGAUGAUUCGACAAAAAGCAAAAUAAUUACUAACAAAUAGCAUGCAAUAUCGUACCACUUGGCCAUCCGGGUUUUCUCCUUCUUGGGAUGAUUCUUGCUGUUUUCCGAGUGAUUUUGAAUCUUGUGUUAAUUAAACCUGCAGACCAUUUUUAAUAACUCAAAAAGGGAACCAAAAAAAAAAUGUAAUCAGAGAAUGUCUAACACAUGCUGAUUGGAUAAACAAUCAAUCGUUCUUGUUUAGUUUGAACCGAUACAAGAAGCUGACUGAAAUCUGUCGCAAGUAUAUGUAUAUAUAUAUAUGCCGAUUUAUACAAAUAUACUUUGCAUGCUUCAAGAACUACAAGCCUCAAUGCAUUAAAAGACAUGUACUUUACGGAUGCUUAGUAGUAUUUAUAACUUUAAUAUCUUAUUAUGAGGACAAUAGGUCCGAUAAGAGGGCGUCAUUUGGUGGUUAUAGUAUCAAAUCUGCUAUACCUUUAUGCCUAGAAUGCCCAAUGACAAUUCUAAAUCCCAAACAGAAUUUGGUUCAUUGUAUUGAUCAGAUGCUAUUGUCUCUGCUACGAGACCUGUCCGGUUGCUAAUAAGCAUAUAAUAAAUGCACAUGGAGCUAAUGUUAGUAUUACCUUGUCUACAUUCUCCAAUGGCAAACCCCACCAGAGAUUUUAGUGCUCUUUCAGUGACCUACUGGAGAGCCUUUUCAUUUUAGCUGCUGAUAGUAGUGACUGGAGUUUGGCACACACUAACAUUAGGCCUGAAUCUUUGUCCACAGACGUCUAACUACAUCCAGUCCAACAACAGAAGAAGAUGUCCUACUCAAGGCUCCAUAGUUUGCAUGUGGCUGGUUAAAUGUCUUAAACGCAGCUUGUCCGCGAUUAAACUCUCUUCAAAAUUUCAGUUUUUUAGCGCUGUGACUGAUAAGUUCAUAUGAAACCACACCAUAACAUCACGAUUGAUAGGCUGAUAGCAUAUCAUGUCCACAAAGAGUACGUACGUACUGAGAAAUGAUAUUCUUGCACCAUUCAUGAUUAAACAAUGACCAACAUUUGAGUUUAAUAUCUAAUUGACAAGAAAUGGCAGGAUUUGCACGAUUUCUACUGCAGUAUAAACAAUUCCAAUCUAUAUAGGUCAAGCUUUAAUGAGAUUUUGACUCGAACUAAUUGGUCGCCUACCGAGGAUUCUUGUAUUCAAGCCCAAGGUGCUUCGUCUGAG